rnacentral:rRNA from 1 species
UAUUGGACAAUGGGCGCAAGCCUGAUCCAGCCAUGCCGCGUGGAUGAUGAAGGCCUUAGGGUUGUAAAGUCCUUUCGACGGGGAAGAUAAUGACGGUACCCGUAGAAGAAGCCCCGGCUAACUUCGUGCCAGCAGCCGCGGUAAUACGAAGGGGGCUGGCGUUGCUCGGAAUCACUGGGCGUAAAGCGCACGUAGGCGGACUCUUAAGUCGGUGGUGAAAUCCUGGAGCUCAACUCCAGAACUGCCUUCGAUACUGAGAGUCUUGAGUCCGAGAGAGGUGAGUGGAACUGCGAGUGUAGAGGUGAAAUUCGUAGAUAUUCGCAAGAACACCAGUGGCGAAGGUGGCUCACUGGCUCGGUACUGACGCUGAGUGCGAAA